CACACUUCUGUAGAAGGAGCAUGCCAUUUCAACUUCCCAAAAGAAAAAGAGGCCUACAUUUUUCUUUAAAAACAUUUUAUAUAUUUUGCGUGUGUGUGUGUGUGUGUGAUUCCAAAGGUCUCUUUUUCUUAUGGUAGCCGUGAUCAGAGGCAGUGGUCACCCAGCACCAGGAGGCUUGAGCUGGCCGGGUGCUUGGCUGAUCGCCCCUGGCCGCGGCGCAGGCAGCGUAGCACCAGGAGGCUUUGGAGGCUUCAGACUGUGGGCCAAAAACAUGGACAGCUUCAUAAUCAGAAGUGGAGUCGGCUUAAAACCUGUGUGACUAACCUUCAAAGACUUUCAAGAUUCAGAAGAUCAUUAUAGGAAGAGAAAUCCUCUGAGAGUGACAACGGAGCAGUAUUUUGUACAUCAGAUUCUGGAAAGAGGCAAAAAUAGGAGAAAUAAGGAUCAACUGACUGCAGUGGAGCCUUAGUGGAGGCUGACUUGGCUGGUUUGAGAGAGUCCUUGGAUUUGACUUGACAUGUGGCAACUUGCAAAAAGUACAAAACACCAGCAGGCCUUUUCACUUCUCUAGUUUGGC